rnacentral:lncRNA from 1 species
GCAUCUCAAAACUCUUUGGGAAAGGAUAUUUGUUGGAUGUUUACAUUAUGGUCUGUUUUAUUCCAUCUCUGUCCACUCUAUAUGCCAUGGUGACACAGGUCAGUGAAAACACUGCAAGGAAAGAGCCAUCUGAGAAACGUGGAGCGGACAGAAAGCUGGCGACAACUGUCAAACUGUCAGAAAAAGGUGAUUUCCACUUUCUCUGUGAAGUAUCCAUUUUUGUAUUCCUUGAUCAUGCAUACCUUGUCAGUAGUUUGGUUUCUGACUGCACUGUGCCACAAUGUAUGCACUUAGAAUACGAUUACAAAAGACCGUGGUCCCAUUGCAUGACAGAGGUCAGAAUUUACUGACGUUGGCUGUACUUGCUACGGAGAACAAAGUACUAAGGGUGCCCAUGGAGAAACCAAGACAGAGACCAAAACUUCCGUAUCAGGGGAAUCCUACAACACACUGGAUGGAGGCAUUAGCACAACCUUGUAGUCUCUUCUGCUUCUCCUUGUAUGCUAUGAGAGUUUCUUUAUAGGACAUUCAGGUACUGCACACAUUUUUUUUUUUUUCUUAAUAUAAAUAAUCUGUCUUUACUAAGAAUGAAAAUUUGAUAACAUUACAGAUCCGGAUGAACCAAUAUUUCUAACAGCUUGAAAGAGAGUAUUGCCCAGUUUAUUCGUUUGGAUUUUCAAAUUCUGGUGACAUGUACUGCAGUUUAUGGAUUUUAUGAUGUCCAGGAUAGCAUUGGCUCCAUCCAGGAGGUAAGUGACAAUGUCUAAUUAAUGAUAAACGUUUCAAACACAUACUCGCUGUAGUUAGUAUAGACUUCAAGUUGAACUCAGCAAUUUAUCUUUCUUCCUGGCUCAUUAAACACUGUUUUGAGCUCCACUAUCAUACAGCUAAUGAUCAUGUCUUUAGUAGUCUUUGCAAAUCAGUCACUGCAGCUCAGUUUUUCAGACUCUAUUUCAUUGAAAUGCUGAGGUUUUCUUCCAGGGGUUGAUGAGCUUUCUCAGUAAAAGUUUCUCUCCUCUUGCUGGUCUGCAUGUGCAGGGUCCAAGAUUUAGUCUCAACUAUGUUGUCUGCUUUUAUUUAUAAUUUUUAUGGCUGGAUUAUCGGUAUUGACUGCUUCUCCUCAAAGGAGGAUUUCCCAUCAUAGAGGAGUCCCUGGUGGCACUGUAUAUAGACAUUACUAAUGCAUCCAUCAGCAAAUUAUCUAGGCACCAAUUACAAAAUGGAGUCUCAGGUAGUGUGAGUAAUUGAUUUUUUUUCAGUGUAAUAGCUGAAUUAAGAAGUUGGAGAAGAGUCUUGUUAUAUACGGAGUGGUAAUUCGUGUCGAAAAAAUGGUUGAUAUUAAUGAAGAAGGGGGAGAUUGGGAGUGUGGCCAUGGGGGUCGGAAAGCCCCGUGGUUGAUGAUAAGAUUAGACUCUUAACGAUGAGGCCUUCAGGAAUGUAAAAGAGUUUAGAGGGAACAAAGAAGGGUGAUUCAGGAGACUCCGUACAGUCUCGGGUUGCUUGUUCUCCAGCCAUUAAGGCAUGGAAGUUUCUGGGUGUUUGCCGUUGCUGUUAUUUGCAAAGUUGUUUGACCAAUGAAAAGUUUUUUUGAAAAGAACUGCUGUGGGGAGAAGGAUGUAAGAGGGGAGCCUGUCCUCAAGAUUUAAAAAAAAAUAAAAAUAAAAAUAAGGCAACAUGAUAUAAUGAAGUUAUGUCAUCAAUAAAGAAACAAAAAGAAGGAAUGAAAAGGAACAGGCUAGCAGAACAGAGACCAGGACGGGAACAUGCACAUUGAUUGCCUCAUGAAGAUAGGUUCGGCCAGACUCAGCAAACUGCUCAAAGAAGCUCGUAGAGGAAGUCACUGGAAAUAGGUGCACCAGAGCUGGGAAGAAGCUCAAGCUGAGAGAAGCGGACCUGAAUCACACAGAAUCACACAGAAUCACAGAAUUUCUAGGUUGGAAGAGACCACAAGAUCAUCGAGUCCAACCUCUAACCUAACACAAACAGUCCCCACUAAACCAUAUACCUGCGCACACAACUGCCGCUCGCUGGUAAGCAGUUGCGCAUUAUGGGGAAUCAUACGUCCUUAGAAACAAAGACUGUCCUGGUAGCCUUACAGUUUAUUCUCCUUAUUAACAAUUGGACAGUUUAUGAUCCUGAAAUACAGAACCAAAUUGAGGUCAAGGUGUGGGACUCUGCAACUAAAAACGACAAGGUUGCGGCGGGACUGCUCAGCACCUGGCGAGCAAUAUCUGAGGCCUUAAAGAGCCAUGUGGGGCCACAAUCAGAAACGUGGUUUGCCAGACAGCGAGGGAACUGCGGGCUCCUUUACUGAUCCGACUGCUACGCCGUGGGCCCCUCUGCUACUGCCAUUGAAGGCUUUUGCUGUUACGUCCCCUGCUGACUUGGAUGUGCCUUUUGGCCCAGGCCUUAUUGGCCUUGAAAUGGAGAUGGGUAUGUUUUUCUUCGAUCUGGGAAGAACGGGAUACAUAAAGCCCGAAGGCUGAGUUGCUUGACAACUUAAAGCAAGACAUAUUGUUCAAAAGGAAUGGAAAAUGGAGAUUUGUUUGUAAUCGAGAAAAGGAAUGGAAAAUGGAGACUGUUAAGUCAUGGAACUUAAAGGAUUGCUUGUUACCUUUUUUGGUUGUACAUAUGUAUAGGCAUACUCGAGUUUAGUAAGUCAUGGAGACUUGUUUGUAAUCAAGAAAAGGAAUGGAAAGGAUUUUGUUACCUUUUCUGAUUGUACAUAUGUAUAGGCAUACUCGGGUUUAGUAUGUAAAAGCAAUGUUCUAUAUAUAUUUAGAAAGUUUAAUGUUCGUGUGUGUUGGUGUAGCGUAGACUCCCCGCACACCCAGCGCUGUUUACUUGCCUUUUAUUCCUUUUAUAAAUAUUCCUUUUAUAAAUAUUACUAAAUUCAGAUUGAGUUGAGACUUCAUUUAUAAGUCUUAAUAUAAGGUCAUUAGAAGUAACAGUGUGUUUUGUUCUCAGACAGAAUGCAAAAAGAACACUCACCUAUGUGUGGCACUGUAGUUCAAACUCAAAGCCUGCUUGAGUAGUAGGAAUGCUUCUUCCAUCUGCCAGGAGAGAACUCUAUUUACAGCAUUUUCAAGCUAUCAUAGCAGAGGUCAACCUUACCAAUUGCAAUUUUCUGUAUGGUUGUGACUCUCAUGUGAAAAAUAAAAAUCUCUCUGGAACUAUUUUGGAAAUUAAAUCUACAUUUUUAAUAGCUUUAGUAUGGCUCCUGCUGUGUCUUUCAGCAAACAUUUGCCGAGACUCUGUAUGAGAUUUGCCUUACUUUGCAUUUAAAAAACACUGCUCUUCACUUCUUGGGAGGUCAAGUGUCUGUAUUGGAUGAUCUAUACCUUUGAAAGUUCUUUCA